UAUGGGCCGUUUGAUGGGUCUUAUGUAAUGUUUUCUAUGGUUUAGGCCCACAUGUAUUUAGGGCUUCACCACUCUCCGUCUUCUGCUUACAGAGCAUUGCCGUCUUCAAGUUACAGAUGACGUCGUCUCCGAUUCCAACUAUGUAACGUCUGUUAUUGACAAUUAUUGGGUAACCGCCAGAAUCUUCACCUAUAAAUGUGUUUUCAGCCAACGAUGAACGGCAUCCCAUAUACGAAAUCUGAAAACACGAUCCCUGCUACUCACCAACUCAACAAUCGCGCAAUCCUCUAUCUUACAUGGCGAUUUGAAAGCUAGCCACUGUACAAAUGCCACCGAGGUCCGUCUUCUGAGGUUUAGGGAGGCCAGGAAUGUGAAGAAAGGGCGAGAGUUAAUAGGUGUCUGACAUGCUACGGCUUGACGAGAAUUUGACACUUAUCCAAUGGUCCGUCAGUGCCAACUAGGCCUGGGCAUUUCGGGUAUCGGUUCGGUUCGGUUCGAGUAUUUCGGGUUUUGGGUAGUUCGGAUAGGGGCUAGAGGAUCCAUUUAGUACUUGACCUAUUUUCGGUUCGGUUCGGAUAGUAAAUGUAGGAACCGGAAAAUAUCCGGAAAAAGUUCGGUUCUCAUUUGGAUCCGGUUCGGAUAGUUCGGAUAAUUUGGAUAAAAUAUCGGUUAUUUAGGGUAAAAUAUCAAAUAAUUAGGAUGAUUUAGAUAAAAAAUUUGGAUAUUUAGGAUUACUUUGGAUAUUUCGGAUAAAACUAUCUGGAUAGUUUCGGAUACUUUCGGGUAGUUUGGAUACUUUAUAAUAAUUUAGUUAUCCUCAACUAUUUUCGGAUACUUUUAAUAGAAUUUUAAAUUAAAAAUAUAUAUUUAGUGAUGUUAUAUGUAUAUAUAAUUAAUAUUUUUAUAUAUUCGGGUACCCGUUCGGUUCUCGGUUCGGUUCCGGUUCGGUUCGGUUAUUUCGGAUAUAAAAAUAUAGGAACCGUUCGGAUAUUUGAGGGUAUUAGUCCGGUUCCGGUUUCGGAUAUUUCGGUUCGGUUCCGGUUCGGUUCUUCGGUUCCAGUUAUUUUGCCCAGGCCUAGUGCCAACCGUCACAGCCCUUUCCUUGACGUUCAGUGUAGGAUCAUUUUAAACGUUCAGCAGUUUCGACGUCACAAGGAGCUUCACAAGGAGCAACAACAAGUUCCGUCUGUCUGAGACUCCCCUCUCCAUACGCUUCAAUGAUGGGACGUCUUUUGUAGAGCUAACCGAUUCGGUGAAAUAAAUACCUACUGAACUGUUACGAUUUCGUAGACCAGCUACGUGCAUUGGCGAACACCAACAGACAACUACCUGGAGCACUAAUAACGAUACACACGGGUCGCAGCGCGUAAUGCUUACUCUUUGCAUAGAGAGUUAUAUCACCGUGGUCAUUAGCAUCUUUGAUGCCUUAGCCCUUGCAUUUUAUAACAAACUCGAGAGCUACGCGACGGAACCAACAAUUGUACUUGCCACCAGCAUAAAUCCGAAAAUUGUUGGAGGUCGAUUGUUAAUGUCACAUCUGGAACACACCUUUACUUCGACACGGAGACCGCUGUUGGAAAAGAAAAGAUUGACAAGCAAGUGACCCUCAUUCUAAUUAGAUAGAGACCACUUGGUUCACAUUAAGCAUGUUUCCAUCUGCUUUAAUAUAUUUUUUGACUGUCAUUCAACACUUAUCUCUUAAUAGGUUGACAGGUGAAGGCACAUAUGAGACAACAUCUUCAUCGAAGGUGGUAUAUGCACAGAAAGAAGCCCUGAUCGUUUCAGAGCUAAAGCAAUAUGUUAUCGCUGCCGACCCUCAGAUAAUUGAGUUUCUUUGACCGGAAUUCUGCCAGGCUUUGUUAAAGAUGAGGAUGAAGAGGUUCCUGAUGCUCAGCUUCCUGGAGUGAAUGCACUAGCUUCGAAUGGAGCUGCUGAUGAGAACUCCAAUGUUGCGCCCCACCAUCCAUGUCUGCUGAUCCAGCUGCCGAAGGUGAACCAUCAACCAAACAGCAACUUGAUCCGAGCCAGAGUGGAUCCAAGAAGGCACGCUUGGCAUAAGUUCACGUAGAUACCUUUGAUAACCAUCGAAUACUUAUCACGUGGAUACCCUUAACAAAAGUAUUAAUGCUUUAGCAUCUUUUUCUACUUUUGUUUUCAACUCACUGUAGUGAUCAGUGUUUGAAUUAUUAAUGCAAGUUUAUUUUAUA